rnacentral:rRNA from 1 species
UGGGGAAUAUUGCACAAUGGGCGGAAGCCUGAUGCAGCGACGCCGCGUGGGGGAUGAAGGCCUUCGGGUUGUAAACUCCUUUCGACAGGGACGAAGCUUUUGUGACGGUACCUGUAUAAGAAGCACCGGUUAACUACGUGCCAGCAGCCGCGGUAAUACGUAGGGUGCGAGCGUUGUCCGGAAUUACUGGGCGUAAAGAGCUCGUAGGUGGUUUGUCGCGUCGUCUGUGAAAUUCCGGGGCUUAACUCCGGGCGUGCAGGGGAUACGGGCUGACUUGAGUGCUGUAGGGGGGACUGGAAUUCCUGGUGUAGCGGUGAAAUGCGAAGAUAUCAGGAGGAACACCAAUGGCGAAGGCAGGUCUCUGGGCAGUAACUGACGCUGAGGAGCGAAAGCAUGGGUAGCAAACAGG